UACGGGGGGUGCAAGCGUUGUUCGGAAUCAUUGGGCGUAAAGCGCGUGUAGGCGGCUUGGUAAGUCAGGUGUGAAAGCCCUGGGCUCAACCCAGGAAGUGCACUUGAUACUGCCUUGCUUGAGUACGGGAGAGGAAAGCGGAAUUCCUGGUGUAGAGGUGAAAUUCGUAGAUAUCAGGAGGAACACCGGUGGCGAAGGCGGCUUUCUGGCCCAAUACUGACGCUGAGACGCGAAAGCGUGGGGAGCAAACAGG
rnacentral:rRNA from 1 species